UUUCUAACUAAGUUACUUUAUUCAUAUUUGUGGCACUUUUGAACGUUUUCGGUUUUGUUCUCGUACCUAUUUAAUUGAAGAUUAACCAGCUCGGUAAUACUAAUUUGUUUAACGUUUGCUAGCAAACAGUCGAGGCGCCAGGCCGCCAGCCAACACGUUAUCCAAGUUAUCGACGGCAGGUGAAAUGCUGUGUUUUUGUACCCCACAGGCUGUCUGUGGUAAAUUAAGAAAUAUUUUUUUGUGCUUUCUCACAGUCGGACUCAGAUAACGCGACUUUUAUAUUUUGAGACGGUUGGCAGACCAUCUUCCACAUCUCUCGCGCGCGCGGCGCCGCAGAAACUACAGCAACAGGGCUGCAUUUUUUGGCUUUGAUGUCAUUCGAACUACGAUCUGGCGGGUCUUACUAUCUGUAAAGAAGAGUCUGCCGAUGUUUUUAAGACACAAGAAAAAGGAGCUUGACCAGGUGCAGAAGGCAACACUCACCAUCAUUGCUGUAGAGGAGGAAGAGGGAACUUUUUACCUUUUAACCCACUGGAUAUUUUGAUUGUCUUUGAAGAUGAGGUGAUGUCUGCCAAGUCCGUGCACUGCCUUUGGAGUACACUUAGUUCGUACAGAAAGUACUGUUGAAUUACCUUUCUUACAUAAAAAUUAUCUACUCUGUUUCUGGUGGUGUUAGAACAUAGUUAUUUUAUAUUAUUAAUUUAAUUUUACAAACUUUUACAAUUUUAAAAUUAAUUUUUAAACAAACAUAUUUCCUUGUUUGUGCGGUCUUAUACUUGGAGGGAAAAAAAUCUAAGACUGUUUUAAAGUUAUAUUUUUGACUUGACAGCCCAAUUUUAUGCUUGAACAUUUUGUGAAUUAACUGUUGUUUUUCAAUAAAUACUUAAGAAUACCCUCUUGUUCUGUCAUAAUUUUGUGCCAAUGUUAAGUUUUGCUUAGUCUUACGUAACUUUAUUACUUUGAGUUGGAUUAACUUAAACCAUUUGCCGCAAUCUGUUUCCUAAAACCAUUUAAGUAACAAUAUAGUUAAGACUUAGUUAGAUUUGUUACCUGAACUCAAACUGAAUGAGUGGAAUAAACUUAAAAUCUUUAAGUUGACUUUACUCUUAUGAUUGACUAAACCAACUCUAAAAUUUAAGUGAAUUUAACUCAAUGCAUAUGAGUUUAGAGUACUUAUACAUAUUAGUUUUAAAACUUAAAUGGUUUGAAGCAAUUAGUUUCCUCAAAUGGUUUGAGUUACCGCAACUUAUCGGGUUUUACAGUGUAACCGUUUAUUAAAGUUUAUGUUACAGUCAUACAACUGAAACAUUUUAAUCU